rnacentral:rRNA from 1 species
GUGCCAGCAGCCGCGGUAAAACGUAGGAGGCGAGCGUUAUCCGGAUUUACUGGGCGUAAAGCGUGCGCAGGCGGCUUCGUGAGUCGGAUGUGAAAGCUCCUGGCUUAACUGGGAGAGGCCAUUCGAUACUGCGAGGCUUGAGGUUGGGAGAGGGGUGCGGAAUUCCCGGUGUAGUGGUGGAAUGCGUAGAGAUCGGGAGGAACACCUGUGGCGAAAGCGGCACCCUGGCCCACACCUGACGCUGAGGUACGAAAGCGUGGGUAGCAAACAGGAUUAGAAACCCCCGUAGUCC